rnacentral:rRNA from 1 species
AACCAGCUCUUCAAGUGGUCGGGCCAAUUAUUGGGCUUAAAGUGUCCGUAGCCGGUUUGGCAAGUUCCUGGUGAAAGCUGGUAGCUUAACUAUCAGUAGGCUAGGAAUACUAACUGACUUGAGGGUGGGAAAGGUCUGAGGUACUCCGGGGGUAGCGGGGAAAUGCGAUAAUCCUUGGGGGACCACCAGUGGCGAAGGCGUCAGACUGGAACACGCCUGACGGUGAGGGACGAAAGCCAGGGGAGCGAGCGGG